GACGAACGCUGGCGGCGUGCUUAACACAUGCAAGUCGAACGGAAAGGCCCUGCUUUUGUUGGUUGCUCGAGUGGCGAACGGGUGAGUAACACGUGAGUAACCUGCCCUUGACUUUGGGAUAACUUCAGGAAACUGGGGCUAAUACCGGAUAGGAGCUCCUGCUGCAUGGUGGUGGUUGGAAUGUUUCGGCGGUUGGGGAUGGACUCGCGGCUUAUCAGCUUGUUGGUGGGGUAGUGGCUUACCAAGGCUUUGACGGGUAGCCGGCCUGAGAGGGUGACCGGCCAAAUUGGGACUGAGAUACGGCCCAGACUCCUACGGGAGGAAGCAGGGGGGAAUAUUGCACAAUGGGCGGAAGCCUGAUGCAGCAACGCCGCGUGCGGGAUGACGGCCUUCGGGUUGUAAACCGCUUUCGCCUGUGACGAAGCGUGAGUGACGGUAAUGGGUAAAGAAGCACCGGCUAACUACGUG
rnacentral:rRNA from 1 species